rnacentral:lncRNA from 1 species
UUUGAAGGUAGCAUGUGUUAGAAUUGCAGUCACUCUUUUGCUUAAAUUUUAAAUCAACUGGUUAGUUGUGGAUAUAUUUAGACUCCUUAUUUCUGCUAUAUUUUGUUGUACUUCUAGGUGAUGAAGUUAUAAGAUCACUUCCACAACUCAGGAACUUUUUGGAAGUAUUCUGGAGUGGUGGUGAGAAAUUGAUAACUGUACACAUUUAAAAUGCAUUUUGAAUCCUCAUCGCAAUAACUGGAUAUAUACCUUGAGGAGAAACGAAUUCUCUUAUCAAGGAGUAUGGGAAUGGAUGUCAAGGUGCAACGAUGACACUGCAAGGAAAAUAAUCCAACCAGAUGGGAAGGAGUAUACAGCACUAAGACACAUUUGACAAAGACACAGAAAAUUUCUUCGUGCUCUAAAAUAAAGUAAGCUUAUGAAAUUGCAAUUUUCGAUGAAAG